rnacentral:rRNA from 1 species
AUUGAACGCUGGCGGCAGGCCUAACACAUGCAAGUCGAGCGGAUGAAGAGAGCUUGCUCUCUGAUUUAGCGGCGGACGGGUGAGUAAUGCCUAGGAAUCUGCCUGGUAGUGGGGGAUAACGUCCGGAAACGGGCGCUAAUACCGCAUACGUCCUACGGGAGAAAGCAGGGGACCUUCGGGCCUUGCGCUAUCAGAUGAGCCUAGGUCGGAUUAGCUAGUUGGUGAGGUAAUGGCUCACCAAGGCUACGAUCCGUAACUGGUCUGAGAGGAUGAUCAGUCACACUGGAACUGAGACACGGUUCAGACUCCUACGGGAGGCAGCAGUGGGGAAUAUUGGACAAUGGGCGAAAGCCUGAUCCAGCCAUGCCGCGUGUGUGAAGAAGGUCUUCGGAUUGUAAAGCACUUUAAGUUGGGAGGAAGGGCAGUAAGUUAAUACCUUGCUGUUUUGACGUUACCGACAGAAUAAGCACCGGCUAACUUCGUGCCAGCAGCCGCGGUAAAAC